rnacentral:rRNA from 1 species
GAUGAACGCUGGCGGCGUGCCUAAUACAUGCAAGUCGAGCGAACAGACGAGGAGCUUGCUCCUCUGACGUUAGCGGCGGACGGGUGAGUAACACGUGGCUAACCUACCUAUAAGACUGGGAUAACUUCGGGAAACCGGAGCUAAUACCGGAUAAUAUAUUGAACCGCAUGGUUCAAUAGUGAAAGACGGUUUUGCUGUCACUUAUAGAUGGAUCCGCGCCGCAUUAGCUAGUUGGUAAGGUAACGGCUUACCAAGGCAACGAUGCGUAGCCGACCUGAGAGGGUGAUCGGCCACACUGGAACUGAGACACGGUCCAGACUCCUACGGGAGGCAGCAGUAGGGAAUCUUCCGCAAUGGGCGAAAGCUUGACGGAGCAACGCCGCGUGAGUGAUGAAGGUCUUCGGAUCGUAAAACUCUGUUAGUAGGGAAGAACAAAUGUGUAAGUAACUAUGCACGUCUUGACGGUACCUAAUCAGAAAGCCACGGCUAACUACGUG